UACGUAGGUGGCAAGCGUUGUCCGGAAUUAUUGGGCGUAAAGCGCGCGCAGGCGGUUCUUUAAGUCUGCUGUGAAAGCCCACGGCUCAACCGUGGAGGGUCAUUGGAAACUGGGGGACUUGAGUGCAGGAGAGAAGAGUGGAAUUCCACGUGUAGCGGUGAAAUGCGUAGAGAUGUGGAGGAACACCAGUGGCGAAGGCGACUCUUUGGCCUGUAACUGACGCUGAGGCGCGAAAGCGUGGGGAGCAAACAGG
rnacentral:rRNA from 1 species